rnacentral:rRNA from 1 species
UACGUAGGAUGCAAGCGUUGUCCGGAAUUAUUGGGCGUAAAGAGCGCGCAGGCGGUAUGACAAGUCAGAUGUGAAAGAGGCCGGCUUAACCGGCAAGGGUCAUUUGAAACUGUCAGACUAGAGUGCAGCAGAGGAUAGUGGAAAUUCCCGGUGUAGUGGUGAAAUGCGUAGAUAUCGGGAGGAACACCAGUGGCGAAGGCGACUAUCUGGCUGCAACUGACGCUGAGGCGCGAAGGCUAGGGUAGCAAACAGG